rnacentral:rRNA from 1 species
GACGUAGGGCGCAAGCGUUGUCCGGAUUUAUUGGGCGUAAAGAGCUUGUAGGCGGCCCGUCGCGUCGACCGUGAAAACCCGGGGCUCAACUCCGGGCCUGCAUUCGAUACGGGCGGACUAGAGUUCGGUAGGGGAGACUGGAAUUCCUGGUGUAGCGGUGAAAUGCGCAGAUAUCAGGAGGAACACCGGUGGCGAAGGCGGGUCUCUGGGCCGAUACUGACGCUGAGGAGCGAAAGCGUGGGGAGCGAACAGG